CACAUUAACAUUCACAAGGCCCGAACCAUCUCAAGCACUUUAUGCUUUAUUAUGCUACACAGAGAUCAGAAACAGAGCUUUGAAUUGCAUUCCUGGGACGACGCUGUGGUGGCUCGAGCUACGUGACGAUUUCAAAUGAAUGGGCAUAAGAUUUUGUGAUGUGACAUUGGAUCAAGUAUAAUGGUUAAUAACUCAACACCCAGUAUGAAAAUAAAUUAGUUGGUGUUGGAAACAAAGCACUUCAUGCCCCAAAUCUCCAACCCUUCAACGCUUCCAAUCUUCUGCUCACUAACUUAUCAGAGAUUUCUUUUUUGCAGCCCGCAAUCAAAAUGCAUUUCAUCCUCAUCAUCUCCCGUUCCAUCCCAACAGCACAUUGCCCAUUUAAUACUAGACCAAAAGUCAUUCUCCCAAGCCCUUCAAACCUUCAAAUGGGCUUCCAAACUCCCCAAUUUUACCCACUCUCAAUCCACCUACCGUGCAUUGAUCCACAAGCUCUGUACUUUCCGCCGCUUCGAUAUUGUAAAGGAAUUGCUUCAAGAAAUGCCCAACGCAAUCGGGUCACCUCCUGAUGAAGACAUUUUCAUCACGAUCGUCCGUGGUCUAGGGUGGGCAUGUAUGGUUAAACGGGUGAUCAAAGUGGUUGACUUGGUUACUCAGUUUCGAAAGAAACCUUCUUUGAGGAUUUUCAAUUCAGUACUUGAUGUUCUUGUUAAGGAAGAUAUUGAUUUGGCUCUAGAGUUUUAUAGGAAGAAGAUGAUGGGGAGUGGUGUUGAAGGUGAUGAAUACACUUUCAGGAUCUUAAUGAAGGGGCUUUGCUUGACUAAUAGGAUUGGUGAUGGUUUCAAACUGUUGCAAGUGAUGAAGUCUAGGGAAAUCAUACCAAAUACUGUGAUUUAUAACACUGUACUUCAUGCACUUUGCAGGAAUGGGAAGUUGGAAGAGCAAGGAGCUUGAUGAAUGAGAUGGAGGAGCUUAAUGAUGUGACUUUUAAUAUCAUAAUAUCUGCGUAUUGUAAAGAAGAGAAUUUGGUUCAAGCUCUUGUUCUCUUAGAGAAGUGCUUGAAUCUGGGGUUUGUGCCCGAUGUUGUAACAGGGACUAAGGUUCUGGAAGUUCUCUGCAAUGUUGGUCGUGUAACUGAGGCUGUUGACAUUUUGAACAGAUUGGAGAGAAAGGGAAGUGUCUUGGAUGUUGUGGUUUAUAACACUUUGAUAAAGGGGUUUUGUAGAUUAGGGAAAGUGAAAGUUGGGCAUUGCCUUUUGAAGGAGAUGGAGAGGAAGGGCUGCCUUCCAAAUGUGGACACAUACAAUAUAUUGAUCUCUGGUUGUUGUGAGUCUGAAAUGUUGGAUUUGGCUCUUGAUCUGUUUAAUGAGAUGAAAACAGAUGGAAUUAAUUGGAAUUUUCUUACAUAUGAUACAUUAAUUAAAGGUUUGUGUUCAGGCAGGAGGAUGGAAGAUGGGUUUAAGAUUUUGGAAAUAAUGGAGGAGAGUAAGGAGGGAUCUAGGGGUCGUUUAAGCCCUUAUGAUAGUGUGUUAUAUGGUCUGUAUAAGAAGAAUCAGUUAGAUGACGCACUCACAUUUAUGACCCAGAUGGGGAAGUUAUUCCCUAGAGCAGUUGAUAGGAGCUUGAGAAUUUUAAGUCUUUGUGAAGAGGGUGCUAUUGAGGAUGCAAAGAAGGUUUUUGGUCAGAUACUUGGAGAAGGGGGAGUUCCAAAUGUUCUUGUUUAUGACCAUUUAAUCCAUGUAUUUUGUGAAGGUGGGUAUAUGCGUGAAGCAUUUGAGCUGAUGAAUGAGAUGGUUGGACGUGGUUAUUAUCCACUUGCACCAACAUUCAAUGCUCUGAUUAGUGGGUUCUGCAGGCAAGGAAUGGUCAGUAGUGCUUUGAAGCUCAUUGACGACAUGGUUGUGAGGGGUUGCAAACUUGAUAUAAGAAGUUAUAAUCCCUUGGUUGAUGCUCUUUGUAGGAAGGGGGGUUUUCAAAAGGCUUUUGGGCUCUUUUCACAAAUGUUAGAAAAGGAUAUUGCUCCUGAUUUAUCAUCAUGGAACUCAUUGCUUCUUAGUUGGUGUCAAGAAACAUCAUGGUUAGCAAGACAGAACAUAUUCCAAGUAAAUUACCUUUUACAGCAGAUUUCUGAGAUUUGAAUUAAUUUUAGCUAUUGAUAUAUAGAUAAAGUGUAAGACGAAGAAUUUUCGACAUAGUGAAUGUGAGUAAAAGUAAAGGCUGCAUUAGCUUGUUCGUUAUUUACCAAUAAUGCAUGACCUAAAUGGGAAAUGAAGGUUUUUUAAUAUAUUCCAAGUUAGAGGUUCAAGAGUCAGAGAUGGUUGUGUGUGAAGAGAAAAAGAUAGUGGAAGGAAAAGAGUGAAUUAUACUUUUAUUAUUUUAUUGGGUUGUAUGUAAAAAUAAAAAUUGGAA